GCUGAGGUGGCCCAGCCUGGUAAGGCGCGAGCCUGGAGAGCUCGUGGUGCUCUGCACCUCGGGAGUUCGAAUCUCCCCCUCAGCG
rnacentral:tRNA from 1 species